UACGGAGGAUGCGAGCGUUAUCCGGAUUUAUUGGGUUUAAAGGGUGCGUAGGCGGUCCGUUAAGUCAGCGGUAAAAUUGCGGGGCUCAACCCCGUCGAGCCGUUGAAACUGGCAGACUUGAGUUGGCGAGAAGUACGCGGAAUGCGCGGUGUAGCGGUGAAAUGCAUGGAUAUCACGCAGAACUCCGAUUGCGAAGGCAGCGUACCGGCGCCCAACUGACGCUGAAGCACGAAGGCGUGGGUAUCGAACAGG
rnacentral:rRNA from 1 species